AGCGAACGCUGGCGGCAGGCUUAACACAUGCAAGUCGAACGCUCGUAGCAAUACGGGAGUGGCAGACGGGUGAGUAACGCGUGGGAAUAUGCCUUUUGGUUCGGAAUAACUCAGGGAAACUUGAGCUAAUACCGGAUAAGCCCGUGAGGGGAAAGAUUUAUCGCCAAAAGAUUAGCCCGCGUCCGAUUAGCUAGUUGGUGAGGUAAUGGCUCACCAAGGCGACGAUCGGUAGCUGGUCUGAGAGGAUGAUCAGCCACAUUGGGACUGAGACACGGCCCAAACUCCUACGGGAGGCAGCAGUGGGGAAUAUUGGACAAUGGGCGCAAGCCUGAUCCAGCCAUGCCGCGUGAGUGAUGAAGGCCUUAGGGUUGUAAAGCUCUUUUGUCCGGGAAGAUAAUGACGGUACCGGAAGAAUAAGCCCCGGCUAACUUCGUGCCAGCAGCCGCCGCAG
rnacentral:rRNA from 1 species